rnacentral:rRNA from 1 species
AGCUCCAAUAGCGUAUAUGAAAACUGCUGCAGUUGAAAAGCUCGUAGUUGGAUUUCUGCCGAGGACGACCGGCGCGCCCUCUGGGUGAGUAUCUGGCUAGGCCUGGACAUCUUCUUGAAGAGCGUAGCUGCAAUUGACUGUGUGGUGCGGUAUCCGGGACUCUGACCUUGAGGAAGUUAGAAUGUUUCAAGCAGGCAUGCGCCUUGAAUACAUUAGCAUAGGAUAAUGAGAUAAGACCUCGGUUCUAUUUUGUUGGAUUCUAGAGCUGAGGUGAUGAUUAAUAGGGAUAGCUGGGGGCAUUCGUAUUUAACUGUCAGACAUGCAAUUCUUGGAUUUGUGAACGGCGGACUACUGCGAAAGCAUUUACCAAGGAUGCUUUCA